rnacentral:misc_RNA from 1 species
GGGAAACAAUGCUUUUACAAACCUCAACAAGAAUAAUGGCACAGCUGCUAAUAAUGAGGGUUCAGAAUCUGUUGCAAAUGAAAGAGCGGAGACUGCAGAGAAAAAUCUCAGCAUCAAUGACAAUUAGUGAGGAUAUAUGUUUUACAAAAAUGAGUACUUUGACUUGCACAAGUCCUAAUUCUACCCAAAGGAUAGAGAAGGACUAGAGAUAAUGAAGAAAUGUAGAUGCAGCAGAAUGACACAUCUUAAACGAUCAUGUUAUAGGUUCACCCACUUGGGGGUGUUGAGAUUUCAAGUCCUUCGACAUUUUUAGAGUUUGCCCGUAGCGGUGUAAUUGUACAUAUAUAUGCUCCUUUUUAUGAUUCAAGUCCAUUAAUGCCAGG